rnacentral:pre_miRNA from 1 species
GCUUCAUUUCACGUGCUCUCUCACCGGUCAGAGUGACGAGAGAGUAUGCAGAAUGAAGAGA